rnacentral:misc_RNA from 1 species
AAAGCAAACAGAACGUGGC